UUUUAAGUGAGUGUAGCGAUAAUUGGUAGUUAGAUUAAAUCUUCUUUAGCUAGCCCGUGUGGGACAAUAUCUUCCCUUUCCCAGACCCCUUGCCCCAACUCUCGCUCGAUUGCCAAGCUCCGGAGCUGCCCCAGCUCCGGCCGUUCCUCCCUUCGCCCGACACCCUCCCCCCUCCGGCAACCACCCAGAUCCAGCCCUUCCCUCUUCGCCCAACGAUCUGCUUUAAAUCUAUUCGAGCCCUCCUGUGGCCCAGAACACCUCUUCCACUUCCUCCUGCUUUAAUCCCUCCCACUCGCCUUCGGCGCGACCCUCCCCGUACUCUUGCUCAUGCAGAAGAUUUGCAUAACCAUCCGUACACCAUGUGCUCAUAGAUAUGGUUUCUACUGCUGCAAAUGCUACACUAGAUUUGGGAAGAUACAUUCCCCUUAGUUGAACAAAAGCUGCUCUUACAACUGAAAGUAGUUCUGUGUUGAGUUGUUAUUUCCUUUCUAUGACAAUAAGUGAUGAAAUUGAAUGAGUGGCUUCCAGAUUGCUCAUUUGGUGCAAAUUUGGAUCAAUGGAAGCUGCAGUAAAGGUAUGUUAUUUGAAUUAUCUUGUCAGGUUGGUAUGUUAUUUGAUCAAUGGAAGAUGUGAUGAAUUUCAUAUGGUUUCAUAGUUUUUUAGAUAUACCAGUUUAGUGUAAUUUUUAUGGAUGCACAUUUUCUUGUCAUGUUAUUCUCAUGCCUUUU